rnacentral:rRNA from 1 species
UGGGGAAUCUUGGACAAUGGGCGAAAGCCUGAUCCAGCAAUGCCGCGUGAGUGAAGAAGGCCUUCGGGUUGUAAAGCUCUUUCGGACGGGACGAAAUGGCAUCCGCCAAUACCGGGUGUCGAUGACGGUACCGUAAGAAGAAGCACCGGCUAACUACGUGCCAGCAGCCGCGGUAAUACGUAGGGUGCGAGCGUUAAUCGGAAUUACUGGGCGUAAAGCGUGCGCAGGCGGUUCGUUAAGACAGAUGUGAAAUCCCCGGGCUUAACCUGGGAACUGCAUUUGUGACUGGCGAACUAGAGUUCGGUAGAGGGGGGUGGAAUUCCACGUGUAGCAGUGAAAUGCGUAGAGAUGUGGAGGAACACCAAUGGCGAAGGCAGCCCCCUGGGCCUGAACUGACGCU